GACGGAAGGUGCAAGCGUUGCUCGGAAUCACUGGGCGUAAAGGGUGCGUAGGCGGCUGUGUAAGUCUGGCGUGAAAGCCCCGGGCUCAGCCCGGGAAGUGCGCUCGAAACUGCGCAGCUCGAGUGCCGGAGGGGAGAGUGGAAUUCCUGGUGUAGCGGUGAAAUGCGCAGAUAUCAGGAGGAACACCAACGGCGAAGGCAGCUCUCUGGGACGUUACUGACGCUGAGACGCGAAAGCGUGGGGAGCGAACAGG
rnacentral:rRNA from 1 species